GGCUAUGAAAAAAUGUUCGGUUUUGUAAAAUACCUUUAUCAUACAAAACAAUUGCGAACCUCACUAUUUUCCCCAUAUAUAUACAAAAUCGAUAGCCAAGAGUAUUUACUCUUCGGCUUGCGUUAGAAAGCCGCUCUUUCUCGUUGAUUUUUUUUGCGCUACCUUCAAAACGGCUUAUCACAGCGCCAAGAAUCGAACCUGAACUCAACGAAAGGUAUUUGCUUCAUUCAUGUAUGUGUAAGAGCACGCGAUAGCUGUCGCCAAAUUCUAUAGCUGCCGUCUUCUCUUCGGUGAUGCUUUCGUUUGCUCUUCACAGAUCAUUUCCAUCUGCAGCUCUUUCAAGCGUGGUGAGCUUUGCUGAGCAUGGUGAGUUCGAGCCUGCACGAACGAUUCGGUCGCAUUAGUUAUCUGUGAGGCUGCAACGGGAGCGGAUCGUUGCUGAUAAGCUAAUGAACCGCAAGAAGAGCGUGGGAAAAAUGAAGAGGCCUGCUUUAGAAAUAUUCACCUAUUUUUGUUAUGUGGAAAAAAGAGAAUUUAUUUAUAGCUGCAGCUGGACACACUUGUCGUGCUUAUCAAAUUGUGAAUAAAGUGUUGAUUACUUAAUUGUGAAUGGUCGAAACGAAGGAGAGAGAGAAAGAUAUGCCUUACAAAAAUAUUGCCUAAUAGUUGAGGAUGAUAAUGAUGGGAUGGAAUUCUUUAAAAUAUACAAAUAUAUAAUAUAAUAUAAUAUUUAAAAAUAUUGCCUAAUAGUUGAGGAUGAUAAUGAUGGGAUGGAAUUCUUUAAAAUAUACAAAUAUAUAAUAUAAUAUAAUAUUUAAGAAUAUUGUAAACUAUUCGAAUAAUAAUUAAAUAUUGUUAAAUAAAAAAAAAAAAUAUUUUCUUAUAUUUUUUAA